CUCAUCAUUCUCAAGGGAUUGAGUGUUGGCAUGGUGACGACGGUGGCUAAUUUUCCAAGAGAAGUAAGGGACCAGAAGAGAAGAAUGGACAACAAGGCCAACAAGGUCAUUCACCCAACCAUAAUCACUGAAGGCAUCAUGAUCACAUUCGUGCCCCACGACCCAAGCUCCCGUCAAGACACACCCCUGGACAGCAAUGUAAGCAGCCCAACCCACGUAAUUCAGAGGGUGUGGAAGAUACUGGUCUAUGUAAUUAGUGGCAACAUAGUAGAGAGCAUAGGCCAUGAGGAGAUCUUGAAUGAGGUAUCGAAAAGAAGUGACAAGUGACUUUUCGAAGCAAUGAGCAGGAAUGGCCUUCUUGAGGUCACCAAUAGUGAAUGGUGGCUUCUCAUGAGGAGCCCUUCUGAGUGCUUCUGCUUCAGUUUUCUUGGCAUUAGAAGGAGCAGACAUGCGCCCACCUGCACCCAUUUUUUCUCUAGUGUAACAAAGAAUAGGCCAAUGCUAUUCUCCUACUCUGUUUGUUUUGCUUUUGCUGUGAAUAUUGCUAACAUUACAAGUUGAAUAUUUAUAGUGAUGCUGUAGAGUUGCAGUGUAGAAUUAAGGAACAGCUGAAAACGCCCGCCAGCACGCCAGCCACUAGAGACUUUUACUAAACUACAAGCUCAAAUUUGUGAGUGUGUUGGAAUCACGAAAUAUAUGAGAUUAAAUAAAUGAAAAUACAAGAAACUGGUGUGCUGCUAUGCUGGUUUUAACUAGUAGUGCACCUUUUGGUUUUUUGUGGCUGACCAAAAUCUUGCUUGUCUAUGUUCAAAUAUUCCGGGUCCUAUUUGGGGGCUUGUAUUGUUACUUUCUUGCAUAUUUUAUUACAAGAUAUUUCAUGAUUUAAAAAUUAUAAGAUAUAAGAUUCAUUUAUAAGUGAAAUUCCAAUAAUGGGGUGGAGUUGCUCACUCAUUUUUACGAUGUUUUACGUGAUUGACAGGUCUUUUAUAUGUUUUUUUUUUGUUGCAAGAAUUUCAAAUAUAAAACUAUUUUGUAGUCCGAAUUUUUUUUAUUAUGUUUUACCUAAUAAAUACGCAUAAUAUGUAGAAUCUCAGAUGUACAAGAUUAUCAUAGACAUAAAAGAACAAUGUGAAAGUAGCAUAAAAAAGAACAAUAAUACAACGAUAGGAGAUAGUCCAAAAAUAAAUCCAAUUAAUGGAACCCUUUGCCCGGAUUUUUAUGCCUGGGUUUCAAUCUUUUUCAAAGUUAAACGAAAAACUGCAAUAAACCAGAAAUCAACUUAUAGUCAGAAUAUGGUAGAAUGUACUUUUUGAAUCUACUUAUCUUAGUUUUAUUAUACUUGUUAAUAACUCAUAAAUCCCUUAUAAUAUAAAAUUUUACAAACAGUUAAUUUAAGCCAAUCUGUUAUCAUAUUAAGUUAUUACAGCUUAUCAAAAAAAAUUUAGUAUUACAAGAUUCAUAAGCUAGAGUUUUGCCCACUAAAGUAAACUUUUACCAAUCAUGGUAUCAUUCAUAUAUCUAGUAAAAACAUUGUAAUUUUCACCAGAUCAGUCCGGGUCUCUGCAUUUUGAACACAGGUUAGAAAACUUUAAAGUACCGAACUUAAACACCAACUCACUGCAAUAGCCAAUACUCAAGCAGAAUCUGAAUUCAAAUUAUUAUUACUAGUCUCCUACUAAAAAAUAUAGACGGAAUACAGAAAGUUCAACUAUAUUUGCAAGUAAAAACUACUAGUGUCUAACCACCCAGGUGACUAACUUCAUCUAUUCACUUCUUAAACAUCCAACUUAUGAUCCAAAAACACGCCGAGCACUUGCUGCAUUUCAGUAUGUCCAAAAACCUUGAAGAACAAAAUAAAGACAAGCAUCAUAAGAUCAAACAUUCAAUAAAAGCAUGAAAAUAUCAUCGAGAAAUUUCUGAGUCUAUUCAUUAUAACACGCAGAGUUGAGGUCUGCAACUCCUUUAUAGUACAACAUUGAAAAAAAUAACUGAAAUUGACAAGGCAACUUUGGUCAAAACAAAUCAAGCUAUAUAUCCUUUCGGUACCAGUAGACUCCUUUAGUCUCGCCUUCAUCUUUCUCCACGUAAAUGCAUUCCUUCAUUUCUCGGUACAUGGCCUUUAGAAUUGGAGUUCCAUCAUAUUGAUAGUAAUCUCCAAGUAAAGGCUUCAUGGCCUCUGUGGCUUCUAGUCCGUGGUAAUGUGGGAUCAUGGAGAAUAUGUGGUGACAGACAUGAGCAUUGCACACGUUGUGGAAUACCUUGUUCAGAAUUCCAUAAUCUCUGUCAACAGUGCAGAGAGCUCCUCUUAACCAGUCCCAUUCAGUUGAGUCGUAGUAAGGAAUCGAAGGAUGAGUGUGAUUGAGGAUUGUAAUUAAUGUAAACCAUCCGUUGACAACUAGCAAUGGACCUCCAUAAACACAGAAAACCCAAACAAAUCCUUUGGCUAAUACUAGAUUGUACAGCCCAUAGAUAACAGCAAGAAUGGCAAGAUCAGACACAAUGAUCUGCUUGCGCUCACGUUCUGUGUAAAGAGGGCUAUGGGGAUCAUAGUGAGAAGUCCACCUCUCAUACUUGUGUCCCGAAACAUUGAACAUCAGAUACAGAGGGAAGCCUAUGAGGAGUGUGGUAACCCACACAAGGACACGGCCGGGUGGGUUGUUGAGAAUUUUGUAGUAGUUCCGGAUGUUGGACUUGAACCUCGGGACAUAAACCUCGUCGUUCUCAAGUGAUUGAGUGUUGGCGUGGUGACGUCUGUGGCUAAUUUUCCAAGAGAAAUAUGGAACCAUGAGAGAAGAGUGGACAAUAAGGCCAACAAGGUCAUUCACCCAACCAUAAUCACUGAAGGCGUCGUGAUCACAUUCGUGACCCACCACCCAAGCUCCCGUCAAGACACACCCCUGGACAGCAAUGUAAGCAGCCCAACCGACGUAAUUCAGAGGAUAUGGAAGAUACUGCUCUAUGUAAUUAGUGGCAAUAUAGUAGAGGGCAUAGGCCAUGAGGAGAUCUUGAAUGAGGUAUCGAAAAGAAGUGACAAGUGACUUUUCAAAGCAAUGAGCAGGAAUGGCUUUCUUAAGGUCACCAAUGGUGAAUGGAGGUUUCUCAUGAGGGGCACGUCGAAGUGCUUCUGUUUGAGUUUUCUUGGCAUUAGGAGCAGACAUGCGUCCACCUGCACCCAUCUUUCCCUGGUGAAGAAUGCAAAUAUUGCUACUCUUCAACCUUGUUGCCUUUGUUAUGUGUUUAGUUGUUUCGUUGUUGUUAUUACCUCAGACCAGCUUGGAUAUUUAUAAGGAUGUCGAAAUUAGAAAUGAGUUAAAGUCCUUAAGGCCCGCCAGCCAGGGGAGGAGUUUGAACUUUGAAUAGAAAGAGUAGGAAAUUAAGUGGCGUGCUCGUGUACAAUUAUUAGUGUCACUACUGAAAUGUGCAGUCAUAAAAUGAGUGCUGCACCAAAAUUUUCUCUUAAAUUCCAGGUCCUGCUUGGCGGCUAUACUAUCUUCAUCAACUUAUUGUUGUCUUGUUAUGCUCUUUUAACAUGCAUAUCUUUUGAUAUCUUCUUUCUCAUAUUAUGCAUUUGCUAAGCUUACUCUAAUACCAAAUAAAGUAGCUGACAUGAUGAAAAAGCAAAUUAACACACCUAAUUUAUGUCUCAUCCGAAAACAGGCUCUUUGGGGGAAUUAUUCUUUAUCUAAUAAAUGAGGUAAAAUGAUUAAUAUUCGAUAAAAUGAGUAGUGAAUGAAAUAUUCCUGUUCCAUCUUUACAAUCAAUCAUCUUCAGUUCCUCAAGUUUACGCUUAAGUGGAAGUUAUUUCUAUUUACUUCCUCCGGAUUUACAGUUAGUCCCAAGAAAAGUGUGGCAGCUGGGCAUUAGUUCUAGCAUGCAGGUUCCAGGUUACGAGAUCAUUUAUCAUCAAAUUGCAGAGGCAUACUUAGCCAAGUUAAAUUAAUGUUGGAAACUGGGAUCAGAACUUUAAUUUAAGCUGCUUGAUGUUCCUUUUUCAGUUCACUCACUACUAGGGAUGGCAACGGGUCGGGUUUCAUGAGAUCUAGACCCGAUCCAUUAUAUUUCGGUUCGGGUCCGGGUCUGAAAAAUGAAGAUCCAGAUCCGAUCCGUCGGAUUUUUUCGGGUUUCGGUUCGGGUUCGGGUCUAAUUCGGAUAUUUAAAAAAAAUUAAAAAUUAUAUAUCUAUAAAAAAUGUGAUGGCUUAUUUUAAAAAAAAAUUAGGAAUAUAAAAAAGGACUUUACAUGUUUCAUUUAGUACAAUAAACACGUGAAACAUGCUAACUUAAUUAUAUACAAUCAUUCAACUUAUCAUUUAUAUUUUAUUAUAUUUAGAUUUUUUAAUGCACAAUAAUUGAGAAAAUUAAAAUAUUGAUGAAAUUAAUAUAUAAAUUAUGUAUUGCGCAUAUAAUAUUAAGUAAGAUGUUAAUACGCAUACAUAAUAAUUCAUAAUAUUUCAUAUAUAUACUUUACAUUUAACAAAUAAUAUAUAUAUAUAUAUAUAUAUAUAUAUAUAUAUAUAUAUAUAUAUAUAUUAUAUUUGUAUGUGGUUUUUAUUAAGAUCCAGAUCCAGAUCCAAACUUUUUCGGGUCUAAAAAUAAGAUCCAAAUCCGGAUCCAGAUCCACAAAAAUCGGGUUCGGAUAGAUCCAAUCGGGUCGGAACGGGUCGGGUAUCCAUCGGGUCGGGUAAAACUGCCAUCCCUACUCACUACUAUUGAAGUGAUAGUUUAUACUCCCUCCGUCUCAAUUUAUAAGUCCAGUUUGGAAAAAAAAAUUGUCCCAAAAUACUUGUCCCUCUCUUCUUUCAAUACAAAUUUAUCUACAUAUUAAUUGUGAUUUUUUUUGAAACUCAACAAUAUUCUCACUUAUCAAUGCACUAAUUAAUGAUACAUGAGAUAAGAUUCUAUCUAACUAACUUUUUUCUUAAUAUGUGUGUUUAUUCCAAAAUCGACUUAUAAAUUGAGACGGAGGGAGUAUUGAACUUCAUUUCAUGACAUUUUAUAACACUGGAAGUUGCUUCAUCACUUGUAUUGUGUACAAAUAAAAACACACAAAGCACUCAUAUUAAUCUGAGCUUAUACUGUGAUUAAUUUUGCAUUCAUCUUACUGAAUACAAUCUUAGUUUCAAUUUGCCAAAAGCCUCGAGGAACACAUCAAAUGGCUCAAUUCAGACCAAGUAUGCUAUGAAGAUUAAGACGACGCUGUCUGUAAAUAUUGUGCAACCAUGUAAACAUUCUGCCAGGACUGUUUCAAAUUGUUGUGUUUGCAAUAUAUGGGUAAAUCUGGGUAACUCAUAACUGUAAUGUCCAAGAUUUAAAUUACGACCUCUCCUAUUGCUACGUACAAUUAAAUAUGAGUUUCUGACUCAUAAACUGAAACAAGCUGCAAAACAGAAUUAUUUCCCAGUUACUUAAGCUUCUUCUUCUUCUACUUUAGUAGCAUAAAAAUCAAAUUGUUUGAUAUUACAAAAAUUCUGAAAAUUCUGUGUAUUGCAUUGAAAAUUUGUUUUCAACUACUUACCUUAUUGUACAACAUCACAUUAAACAAUCUAAAGUUACUAGGAUUCUAGGAAUAAAAGAAGACAAUGCAGAAAUAAGUGAAAGAAUUAAAUCGAGGUAGUCUCUAACACAUUGAGCUAAAUAUCCUUUCUGUACCAGUAGACUCCUUUGGUCUCGCCUUCAUCCUUCUCCACGUAAAUGCAUUCCUUCAUUUCUCUGUACAUGGCCUUAAGUAUUGGAGUUCCAUCAUACUGAUAAUAAUCGCCCAACACUGGCUUCAUGGCCUCUGUUGCUUCAAGUCCGUGGUAAUGUGGGAUCAUGGAGAAUAUGUGGUGACAGACAUGAGCAUUGCACACAUUGUGGAAUACCUUGUUCAAAAUUCCAUAAUCUCUGUCCACAGUGCAGAGAGCUCCCCUCAACCAAUCCCAUUCGGUUGAAUCGUAGUAAGGCACUGAGGGAUGAGUAUGGUUAAGGAUGGUGAUCAAUGUGAACCAUCCAUUGACAACAAGCAAUGGACCUCCAUAGACACAGAAAACCCAGACAAAUCCUUUGGCUAAUACUAGAUUGUACAGCCCAUAGAUAACAGCAAGAAUGGCAAGAUCAGACACAAUGAUCUGCUUGCGCUCACGUUCUGUGUAAAGAGGGCUGUGGGGAUCAUAAUGUGAAGUCCACCUCUCAUACUUGUGUCCAGAAACAUUGAACAUCAAAUAUAGAGGGAAACCUAUGAGAAGUGUGGUAACCCAGACAAGGACACGACCGGGUGGGUUGUUGAGAAUUUUGUAGUAGUUCCUGAUGUUGGACUUGAAUCUGGGAACGUAAACUUCAUCAUUCUCAAGCGACUGAGUGUUGGCGUGGUGACGUCUGUGGCUAAUUUUCCAAGAGAAAUAAGGGACCAUGAGAGAAGAGUGGACAAUAAGGCCAACAAGGUCAUUGAUCCAGCCAUAGUCACUGAAGGCAUCAUGAUCACACUCAUGGCCUACAACCCAAGCCCCGGUGAGGACACAGCCCUGUACAGCAAUGUAAACUGCCCAACCCAAGUAGUUGAUUGGAUGGGGUAAAUACUGGUCUAUGUAAUUUGUGGCAACAUAGUAAAGGGCAUAGGCCAUGAGGAGAUCUUGAAUAAGAUAUCGGAAAGAAGUGAUGAGUGAUUUUUCGAAGCAAUGAGCAGGAAUGGCUUUCUUGAGGUCACCUAUGGUGAAAGGGGGUUUCUCAUGAGGAGCACGUCGAAGUGCUUCUGUUUCAGUUUUUUUGCCUUUAGGAGGAUCCGACAUUCGCCCACCUGC
rnacentral:lncRNA from 1 species